AGCUGGAAGGAAGGCACAUUCGCCUCCUAAAUAAAGCAAUGGCAGGAGUCGUCGUUAUCUCUCCUGCAGGUCAGAAACAUCUGAUGCCGCUGCACACCGAAAUGCUCAAUAUGGCUGUGAGUUUUUUCAUAGUGGAAGUGCUGAAAACGUUCGUCAUCCUAGGUGUUUUAGGAUGCACUGAGGAAAAUGUCAAGCUGCACGUUGAUGGCAAGCCACUGGACAGGCCCUCUGCAUCACUGGCCGAUUAUGGAAUCAAAGUCGGCUCAACUGUGCAGGUGGUGAGGAAGGUUCACGGAGGGUGAAGGAGUCCAUCAUUAAUUCAUGUGACCACGUCAAAGUAACAGGAUGGACUGAAUUGUAAAUACGCGCAAAGAAGAAAACGCAUGAUUUUCAAUGAAGUCUGGAAUGUCCGGCUUUCCUUCUCCUUUCUGAAUUUCUUCAUGUUACGGCCCUUAUCAUAUCUAUGAUGAGCACUUAUUCAAUUUUACAUGGAGCUCGCUCGCUCGCUCGAGGAGCUCGGAAUAAAAAAUGAUUAACUGGCGUGUUUUUAUUUUUAUUUUAUUUACGUCGGUGGGACUUUGCGCCUGGGAUGACAAUAAUAGGAUUAUCUCCUCUCACUGGCGUCUCACAUGCUGUCUGAAACAGAGCCUUUUUAGACUUCUGAUCUUUUAGCUCACGUGGAUCACUUAAACAAUAAGUAAAGAAUAAUAAUGAAAAUCUUGAACCUUUUUUAAACGUGUGUGUGUGUGUGUGUGUGUGUGUGUGUGUGUGUGUGUGUAACCUCAUAUUAUUAUAAUUUCAGGAAGAAAUGAAAAUAAAUGUAGCAGUACACAGAGCAACAUCCACAAGGUAAAAGCUGAAAAAAGAAAUUUGUUUUCAAUUUCCUGUUUUACACAACAUUAUCCUUGUAUGAUGUGGAUGAAUAAAAUGCCUGUAUGUUCAGUAGUUUCUGCUUUUUAUGUCAAUGGCAACAUUUGAAAUAAUUUUCAAAUCAUGUUUAAUAAAUUAUUUCUAAACUGA